UUGAACGCUGGCGGCAUGCCUUACACAUGCAAGUCGAACGGUAGAGGGGCAACCCUUGAGAGUGGCGAACGGGUGAGUAAUAUAUCGGAACGUGCCCAGUCGUGGGGGAUAACGCAGCGAAAGCUGCGCUAAUACCGCAUACGGUCUAUGGAUGAAAGCGGGGGAUCGCAAGACCUCGCGCGAUUGGAGCGGCCGAUAUCAGAUUAGGUAGUUGGUGGGGUAAAA
rnacentral:rRNA from 1 species